GACGAACGCUGGCGGCGCGCCUAACACAUGCAAGUCGAACGGGACUAUACGAGAUGAAGUUUUCGGAUGGAAUUUUGUAUAGUUUAGUGGCGGACGGGUGAGUAACACGUGAGCAACCUGCCUUCGAGAGGGGAAUAACGGCUGGAAACGGUCGCUAAUACCGCAUAACAUACAGGAGGGACAUCCCUUUUGUAUCAAAGAUUUAUCGCUCGAAGAUGGGCUCGCGUCCGAUUAGGUAGUUGGUGAGGUAACGGCCCACCAAGCCGACGAUCGGUAGCCGGACUGAGAGGUUGAACGGCCACAUUGGGACUGAGACACGGCCCAG
rnacentral:rRNA from 1 species